rnacentral:rRNA from 1 species
CCUACGGGGGGGCAGCAGUGGGGGACAUUGCCCAAUGGGGGAAACCCUGAUGCAGCGACGCCGCGUGUGGGAAGCCGGUCCUCUGGAUUGUAACCCACUGUCCCCAGGGACGAAGAUGACGGUGCCUGGGGAGGAAGCUCCGGCUAACUACGUGCCAGCAGCCGCGGUAAUACGUAGGGACCGGGCUUUGUCCGGAAUUCCUGGGUGAAAGGGGGGGGUAGGCGGGGAUGCAAGGUGGGUGGCAAAACUACCGGCUCAACUGGUAGUCGCACUCAAAACUGCAGCUCUUGAGUGAAGUAGAGGCAGGCGGAAUUCCUGGUGUAGCGGUGAAAGGCGUAGAUAUUAGGAGGAACACCAGGUGCGAAGGCGGCCUGCUGGGCUUUUACUGACGCUGAGGCUCGAAAGUGUGGGUAGCAAACAGGAUUAGAUACCCCGGUAGUC